GAAUAUUGCACAAUGGGGGAAACCCUGAUGCAGCAACGCCGCGUGAGCGAUGAAGGCCUUCGGGUCGUAAAGCUCUGUCCUAAGGGAAGAUAAUGACGGUACCUUAGGAGGAAGCCCCGGCUAACUACGUGCCAGCAGCCGCGGUAAUACGUAGGGGGCAAGCGUUAUCCGGAAUCAUUGGGCGUAAAGGGUGCGUAGGCUGCCCUAUAGGUCAGAGGUCAAAGGCUACGGCUCAACCGUAGUAAGCCUUUGAAACUGUAGGGCUUGAGUGCAGGAGAGGAGAGUGGAAUUCCUAGUGUAGCGGUGAAAUGCGUAGAUAUUAGGAGGAACACCAGUGGCGAAGGCGACUCUCUGGACUGCAACUGACGCUGAGGCACGAAAGCGUGGGGAGCGAACAGG
rnacentral:rRNA from 1 species